rnacentral:lncRNA from 1 species
CAGCACUGCUACAGGAGCAAAGAAAAAAAUAAAAAAGAAAAGAACUAUCCCAAGAGCACUCAUAGAACCAUGGCUCCCUAGACCCACCAGCAACCCACAGGCUCUGACCUCAUCCCCCAUGAGACGGAAGCAUUUGAUCAGCUCGCGAAGUAGGUGACGAUCAGCGCCGCAAACAUGAGCAGGUACGCGACCGCCUGAUCAAUGGCCUUCGCGUCGAUCACCCGCGCAGCGGCCGCCGUCGCCGGUGCCGGCUUGUUGUCGUGCGCCAUGGACAGCUGCAUGAGCCCGGAGAAGAAGAAGGCGGUGAAUAGCAGGAUGCACGCCUUCAUGGUCGCCAUGUAUUGUAUCCUAAUUUGCUGUACGAAAUAAUGAUAAUUUGCUGAACUAAUUAGCUUAUGGGUCACCGGUUGCAGGUCUUUUCUUGGUUAGAUGUUUAAGGCAAUGCAAUGUGGAU